CCUACGGGAGACAGCAGUGAGGAAUAUUGGUCAAUGGGCGCGAGCCUGAACCAGCCAAGUCGCGUGAGGGAUGACGGCCCUACGGGUUGUAAACCUCUUUUGCCGGGGAGCAACGGGCGCCACGUGUGGCGCCACUGAGAGUACCCGGAGAAAAUGCAUCGGUAAACUCCGUGCCAGCAGCCGGGGUAUUACGGGGGAUGCGAGCGUUAUCGGGAUUUAUUGGGUUUAAAGGGUGCGUAGGCGGAUCGUUAAUUCAGUGGUAAAAUUGAGGGGCUAAACCCCUUCCCGCCAUUGAAACUGGCUCUCUUGAGUGGAAGAGAAGUAUGCGGAAUGCGUGGUGUAGCGGUGAAAUGCAUAGAUAUCACGCAGAACCCCGAUUGCGAAGGCAGCAUGCCGGCUUCCGACUGACGCUGAAGCACGAAAGCGUGGGGAUCGAACAGGAUUAGAUACCCUAGUAGUC
rnacentral:rRNA from 1 species